AAAUUGAAGAGUUUGAUCAUGGCUCAGAUUGAACGCUGGCGGCAGGCCUAACACAUGCAAGUCGAACGGUAACAGAAAGCAGCUUGCUGCUUUGCUGACGAGUGGCGGACGGGUGAGUAAUGUCUGGGAAACUGCCUGAUGGAGGGGGAUAACUACUGGAAACGGUAGCUAAUACCGCAUAACGUCGCAAGACCAAAGAGGGGGACCUUCGGGCCUCUUGCCAUCGGAUGUGCCCAGAUGGGAUUAGCUUGUUGGUGGGGUAACGGCUCACCAAGGCGACGAUCCCUAGCUGGUCUGAGAGGAUGACCAGCCACACUGGAACUGAGACACGGUCCAGACUCCUACGGGAGGCAGCAGUGGGGAAUAUUGCACAAUGGGCGCAAGCCUGAUGCAGCCAUGCCGCGUGUAUGAAGAAGGCCUU
rnacentral:rRNA from 1 species